GUGAGGUCAGUCUCUUUUUACUCAGCUGAACUCGCUUUUGAAUUUACAUAAGCAAAAACUAAAAAUAAUUAUUUUUUAGUCGACUUCAACAAGAUGAGUACAAUUCUUUGGCUGCUAAAAUAGUGCUCCUUUUCCCACAAAGCCAAAGGGAGUGUAUUACUGUCCCCCUGUGAAAAGAGCAUGUUGUCCAUUUCACAAGACAGUUAUGGCUAAGGGCAAACUAGUGAAUCACUGCAGAAAUAUUUUAUUUAGAUCUGGUGAUACCCAAAAACAAAGAAAAAGGCCAGAUGACGAAGACUUUUGGUAUUGUCCCGAAACAAAAAAAAGAUAAUUUAGAAGAUACAUUUAAAGAAGAAAUUGCAUAGCUGCAACAUAAUACCGAGCCAUGGAAUAAAGUAAUGGAAUAUUGGACUCGAACCUGGGAAGUUCGAUCCACAUCAUGUGACAUGUCAUCCUCAGUGUCGCAAUACCUUGAAAAAUGACCAAACCAAACCAAUGUUUAUGCUGUACAUACUAAAAAUAAACUUUUAACAGAGAUAUUUUUGCCUUA